UCCUAAGAACCAUGGAUAAAAUGACAGUUGCUCAAAAAACUGCAUACAUUGAAGCUCAUAUGGCAGUUCAACAACAUAUGGUCCAAGCAGCUUUUCAUUUCAAACAACAUAAUCAACGAUGCGAUAUCCAGCAACAAAGUAACCAAGGUCAAGAUUCUUCUCCAAAUAAUGUAAAUGAGGUUGUGCAACAACAACCACAACAACAACAAGAACAACACCAACAACAACAACAACACCAACAGCAACAACACCAACAGCAACAACCACACCAACAACAACAACAACAACACCAACAACAACACCAACAACAACAACAGCAACAACAACAGCAACAGCAACAACAACAACAACAACAACAGCAACAACAACAACAACAACAACACCAACAACAACAACAUCAACAACAACAGCAACAUUUCUCACACAAUAUAAAAGUACCUCAAAUAAGUACAUCAAGUUCGGGGGGGGCCGACAGCACAUUUACAGUUCCCGACGAUGUCGGUAUGGGUUUUGAAGGUGGUGUAAGAGUACUCCAAAGCUUAGGCAGCUGGUCACCUGACAUUCCUUACAAUGUACCAAGACCAAAUCUUAUACCUUUUACGGAGCCGUAUGUUGAAGGUGGUUCAAUGCAUCCUGCAAGUAGACUUAAGGCGUUGCAACAAGUCCAACAGGCUUCAUCAAAUAUUCGGAAAGCGCAUUCUAUAAAAAGUUCAAACAAAGCAUUUGAAUGCACAAUUUGUGGGAAAGCACUAGCCAGAAAAGAUAAAUUAACAAUACACAUGCGUAUUCAUACUGGAGAAAAACCAUACAUUUGUGAGGUUUGCAACAAAGCUUUUGCUAGGAGAGAUAAGCUUGUUAUACAUAUGAAUAAGUUUAAGCACGUAACGCCUACGAACAUAGCUCCAUUAGGAAAGCGACUUAACACCAUAAUCAAGAAAAAAGAUUCGGAAAGCAAAGACAGUAAAACCAUCACCGAUUCCGUGCAAUCUUCCUCUGACAUAGUAAUACAAUCACGACAACAUCAACAUGCAAAUACGGCUGUCCCUGGGAUUAUUAUACCACAUCACCAUCAACAACUUUCAUGGACUUGUGAAUUAUGCGGCCGGAUGUUUUCUACGAGAGAUGAGUGGUCAUUACACGCCAAAAGUCAUUUAGAGGUUCUUAUGUCCUCAAUAGUCAACCCUCUAGGAAUGAGAAGGGCCGAUUACUGCGAAGGGAUAGAUAUUGCAGAAUUUUCUUUCAGAGGAAACUGUUACAAGGCUAAAAACAAUUUUGAUUCAAAUCAAAAACGAAGAUACGGUUAGAGCAUCAGCAUUAACAUCACCUACCAGUUCCAACUCAUCAGACUUACGAAAAGGCAAAGGCUUAUGUUGUAGCUUAACUUCGGGCUUAAAAUGUAGAUGUGGCUUCAAUAAAGCAAACAUAUCGAUUUCGAAUGGAUUUAUUCAAAAUGUAAAUUCUCUCCUUUUUGCUGUCGAGGAUGAGAAUAUGGAAGAAAAACAAUUUUUUUAGCGUAUAUCCACAUUAAAUUUCCCAUUAAUAAAAGUCCUUAACAAUAGUAUU